ACGAGGCUGACAGUGAAGUGAUCAACACAGGACCAGAGUCUUCUAUUUCCCAUCUGCCUUCCUCGGGUCCAAAACCAACAUGAGGCACUAAAUUAAAGCAUUCCUAUUGGCUGAUAUGAGUGAAAGUACUGUAGCUGUCUACUCCCACCAGUAGACGAAACUUCCUUACCUUCUCUGGGUACAGAGCACAUUUUCUCUGAUACAUCUCAUCUGAAAACUCCUGCACCAGGUAACCUAAGCUACAGAAUGCUGUUUCCUUGUGAAAACAAUUUAUUAGGCCCCGUGGAACCAAUAUCCUGGAGUUGUAGAGGAGAAAAAUAAAUUCUUGCCU
rnacentral:lncRNA from 1 species